GUCCACGCCCUAAACGAUGUCUACUAGUUGUCGGGUCUUAAUUGACUUGGUAACGCAGCUAACGCGUGAAGUAGACCGCCUGGGGAGUACGGUCGCAAGAUUAAAACUCAAAGGAAUUGACGGGGACCCCGCACAAGCGGUGGAUGAUGUGGAUUAAUUCGAUGCAACGCGAAAACCUUACCUACCCUUGACAUGGAAGGAAUCCUUGAGAGAUUGAGGAGUGCCCGAAAGGGAACCUUUACACAGGUGCUGCAUGGCUGUCGU
rnacentral:rRNA from 1 species